UUUGCUUCUCAGUCUUUAGAUGAAGAACAAAUGUUAUAUCUUCUUAUCAAUUUAAUAUCUGAUAUGUUAUCUAAUGGAAGGCAACUUAUUAAACAGAUACGUGGAGCAGGGAGGAUCAGGAGCUGGUUCUGUCUAUUGCAGAAUCAACCUGGUACUGCACUAACUCCAGGAACGAUGCACACACA